AACCAGCUCUUCAAGUGGUCGGGAUAAUUAUUGGGCUUAAAGUGUCCGUAGCCGGUUUAGUAAGUUCCUGGUAAAAUCGGGUAGCUUAACUAUCCGUAUGCUAGGAAUACUGCUAAUACUAGAGGGCGGGAGAGGUCUGAGGUACUACUGGGGUAGGGGUGGAAUCUUAUAAUCCUAGUAGGACCACCAGUGGCGAAGGCGUCAGACUGGAACGCGCCUGACGGUGAGGGACGAAAGCCAGGGGAGCGAACCGGAUUAGAUACCCGGGUAGUCCUGGCCGUAACGAUGCAUACUAGGUGAUGGCACGGCCAUGAGCCGUGUCAGUGCCGUAGGGAACCGUUAAGUGUGCCGCCUGGGAAGUACGGUCGCAAGGGCUAAAACGUUAAGGAAUUGGGCGGGGGAGCGACCACGAAGGGGUGAAGCCUGCGGUUU
rnacentral:rRNA from 1 species